GUGGCCGUAGCUCAACGUUAGAGCAUCGCCCUGUGACGGCGAGGACGCGGGUUCAACUCCCGCCGGUCACCCCA
rnacentral:tRNA from 1 species